rnacentral:rRNA from 1 species
GACGAACGCUGGCGGCGUGCCUAAUACAUGCAAGUAGAACGCUGAAGGAGUAGCUUGCUUCUCCGGAUGAGUUGCGAACGGGUGAGUAACGCGUAGGUAACCUGCCUGGUAGCGGGGGAUAACUAUUGGAAACGAUAGCUAAUACCGCAUAAGAGUAGAUGUCGCAUGACAUUUGCUUAAAAGGUGCAACUGCACCACUACCAGAUGGACCUGCGUUGUAUUAGCUAGUUGGUGAGGUAACGGCUCACCAAGGCAACGAUACAUAGCCGACCUGAGAGGGGGAUCGGCCGCACUGGGAGGGAGACCCGGCCCAGACUCCUACGGGAGGGAGCAGUAGGGAAUCUUCGGCAAUGGAUGGAAGUCUGACCGAGCAACGCCGCGUGAGUGAAGAAGGUUGUCGGAUCGUAAAGCUCUGUUGUAAGAGAAGAACGAGUGUGAGAGUGGAAAGUUCACACUGUGACGGUAUCUUACAAGAAAGGGACGGCUAACUACGUG